UACAGAGGUCUCAAGCGUUUGUUCGGAUUCAUUGGGCGUAAAGGGUGCGUAGGUGGCGCCGUAAGUCAGGUGUGAAAUCUCGGGGCUCAACCCCGAAACUGCACUUGAUACUGCGGUGCUCGAGUACUGGAGAGGAGAUUGGAAUUUACGGUGUAGCAGUGAAAUGCGUAGAUAUCGUAAGGAAGACCAGUGGCGAAGGCGAAUCUCUGGACAGUUACUGACACUGAGGCACGAAGGCCAGGGGAGCAAACGGG
rnacentral:rRNA from 1 species